UGGAAAGAUAUGAAGGAGGUAGACCAUGAGUGGUUUUGAAAGCCAGGUUAAAAAGGAUAAACUUUGUCUUCAAAGCCAUGAAAUUUCAUAGAUACGGUUUCAGCAGGUCUGAGUUUUAGAAAUUAUUGUGAUUGCUGGGUGGAAAAUUAAUUGGAGAGUGGCAAGACUGGAGAUAGACAGUUGAUAUAUGAUGUUACUGCCCUUUUAUUUUCUAUUUGCCAUCUGAAAAAAUGUAUCUCUGUAAUAGAUGAUAAGGCUAAGCAAAAGCCAUGCCAACAGAACACUCAUGAAAUUAAAAAAGAAGGUCAUCUAUUUACUCAUUCAAUAGGAGUGCUCUUCCAAAGGCAGAAGUUAACAUAGGAGUAAUAGAAAAUGGCUGGUGAAGAUUUUUAAAAAAGAGGAAAGAGAAAGGAAGUAGAAAAGGAUGAAGAGAUGAAAAGGAGAAAGGAAAAGAAAUGGACAAAGUAAUGGUUUGUACAGUAAAGGAACUCAUAGGUUUCAUGGGGUAGUGGUAUGGAAAUCGCUAG
rnacentral:lncRNA from 1 species